UACGUAGGGUGCAAGCGUUAAUCGGAAUUACUGGGCGUAAAGCGUGCGCAGGCGGUGAUGUAAGACAGGUGUGAAAUCCCCGGGCUCAACCUGGGAACUGCAUUUGUGACUGCAUCGCUGGAGUGCGGCAGAGGGGGACGGAAUUCCGCGUGUAGCAGUGAAAUGCGUAGAUAUGCGGAGGAACACCGAUGGCGAAGGCAAUCCCCUGGGCCUGCACUGACGCUCAUGCACGAAAGCGUGGGGAGCAAACAGG
rnacentral:rRNA from 1 species